GCGCUGGAGAUUUGAGAGGAUCUGUCCUUAGUACGAGAGGACCGGGAUGGACGUACCUCUGGUGUACCGGUUGUCAUGCCAAUGGCACUGCCGGGUAGCUAUGUACGGACGGGAUAACCGCUGAAAGCAUCUAAGCGGGAAGCCCACCUCAAGAUGAGAUCUCCCGGGAAUUUAACUCCCCUGAAGGUCCGUCGAAGACUACGACGUUGAUAGGCUCCAUGUGUAAGCGCAGUAAUGCGUUGAGCUAAGGAGUACUAAUUGACCGUGCGGCUUGACCUUAUAACACCCAAGCAGU
rnacentral:rRNA from 1 species